CGUUGGAUUGCUGCAUCCACCUCCUCUUCGGUGACGCUGGAGGAGAGUUUGUGUUGUUGUUGCGGUGUCAGUGAGGGCAUUGGUAUCUUGUGCAAGUAUUGUUUUAUAUGCUGUGGUUGUGGUUGGUGUGUUUUGGCAUCAUUCGCCAGAUUAUAGAGGGAUGCAUAGUAUUUGGCGAACGCAUUGCUAAUGUCCUUGGGGGCUGUGAUCUUGUGUCCCUCCUCUGUUUGGAUGUGUGCUAUCUUUUGUUUAGUUUGGAG